rnacentral:lncRNA from 1 species
GCCCCAAAAUGCAGAAUCAACAGCAGAGGAAUCAAAGUCUGUACCAGCAGACUGUUGCACUCUUGUGGAAAAACAUCAUUAUGAAGUGGAGAAUGAGAAUGCAAAGUUUUCAGGAAUGGUUCUCAGCACUAGUUUUAAGCUCUGUCAUGGUGUUGCUGUUAUUAACACUGAACUUUGAGGAAAGUGUGGAAGUACAUCGGGCAUCGCUUGGGCAGCUAAAUGAGCUGGUAAACCACAACCUAACUGCGUUAAGAGUUGUUUAUACCCCAGACACGAAGAUGACAAGAGAAAUAAUGGGAAAAAUAGAAACCAUAUCUGUAUUGAAAGGUAUAAGAACAGAAAUAGUUGGAGAUGAAAAAGCCAUGGAUGUAAUCCAAGAAGAGAACGAUGACAUAAUUGGAGUAGUAUUUGUGGAUGAUGUUUCUUAUCGACUCAGAUUUCCUUUGGGUAAAGUGGUUUCUCCCAGCGAUUAUAUUGGACAAUUAGGUAAUUCAAGGUGAAUUUGUAUUCAUUUUCCAGCUGUUUUCUUAAAAACCACACAGGUACAUCAAAGCCAUGUGUAAAUUUGAACUCCUGUUAUCAUAUAUUGUCAUUCUGUGUUUUAUUUCAAUGUAGAAAAUAUACUGGUACACUUGUUCAUUUUGUAUGCACAUUUGUGAACACUUAGAUAGUAUUAAUGAAUCCAAGGCAGACCUUUCAACAUCACAGUAAUCUGCACCAACCACCGAUGCAGAAGAGGCUGAAAUUGACCAAUUCUAUGAAGACUUACAACACUUUCUAGAACUGACACCAAAGAAAGAUGUUCUUCUCAUUGUAGGGCACUGGAAUGCUAAAGUAGGGAGUCAAGAGAUAAAAUAAAAGGAAGGUAAGUAUGGUCUUGGAGUUCA